rnacentral:rRNA from 1 species
CCUACGGGUGGCAGCAGUGGGGAAUCUUGCGCAAUGGGCGAAAGCCUGACGCAGCGACGCCGCGUGAGGGAUGAAGGUCUUCGGAUCGUAAACCCCUGUCAGCAGGGAAGAACGGUCACUGUGCUAAUCAGCAGUGAAUCGACGGUACCUGAAAAGGAAGCACCGGCUAACUCCGUGCCAGCAGCCGCGGUAAUACGGAGGGUGCGAGCGUUAAUCGGAAUUACUGGGCGUAAAGCGCACGUAGGCGGUAUGUCAAGUCAAGGGUGAAAUCCUCGGGCUCAACGUGGGAACUGCAUUUGAAACUGGCAAACUGGAGUGUGUAAGAGGAUAGUGGAAUUCCAGGUGUAGGGGUGAAAUCCGUAGAUAUCUGGAGGAACAUCAGUGGCGAAAGCGACUAUCUGGCACAUAACUGACGCUGAGGAGCGAAAGCGUGGGUAGCAAACAGGAUUAGAUACCCUUGUAGUC